rnacentral:misc_RNA from 1 species
GUGAAUCAUCAAAUUUUUGAACGCAAAGGGCACUCUCCUCGGAGAGUAUGCCUGUUUGAGGGUCAGCCUAUAAAAAUCGACAUCGUUGCCGUUUCGCGGUGGCGUUCGUCGGAAAUUGGGUUAUCUUAAAUCCUUUUGGUUUUUAAGCGACUUAAAAUUUUCUUUUUGGUUCCAUGAACGUUUCUAAGUUCUAUUUCUUUACACGUUUAAGGUAUCUAUUUUUACUAGACGUCACCAUCAUUUCGGAU